rnacentral:misc_RNA from 1 species
GCUGAGAUUGUCCGUGUGCUUGGUAUAUUUCAUUAACUUAAAGAUUCUUCUUUUUUGGGCCUUGAUCAGUAAUGGGAACACAUUACUGGAUGCCAAAGAAGGUGAUGAAAGAAAAUUAAUUAGUUUAAUUACAUCUGGGACUUAUGAUGUGCCUAAAAGGGGUCAAGAAUUUUCAUCCAUUUUAGAACCAUGUUUAACUAUUCAUAAUUUGUUUAGCCUUUGUUGUUUAUUUGCUGCCAAAACGAUCUAUCAUCUCAUUGCCCUUGAAAGAACAUCAACA